rnacentral:rRNA from 1 species
UACAGAGGUCCCGAGCGUUGUUCGGAUUCACUGGGCGUAAAGGGUGCGUAGGUGGUCGGGUAAGUUUGAUGUGAAAUCUCCGGGCUUAACCCGGAAAAUGCAUUGAAUACUAUUCGGCUGGAGGGUUGGAGGGGGGACUGGAAUUCUCGGUGUAGCAGUGAAAUGCGUAGAUAUCGGAAGGAACACCAGUGGCGAAAGCGACUUCCUGGUCGAAUACUGACGUUCAUGUGCGAAAGCGUGGGGAGCAAACAGG